CCUUCUCUUCCCUGCCGGGCGGAGGUUCUCCCGCCGCUGUUAGAAAGGCCGCCCUGAUCCCACGCGGGCUGCCCGCCUGCCGCUACGUCACUCUCUGGGCUCCCUGUUCGCUCCACAGGGAGCCUCAGUCCACAGCCUGGCCUGGCUUUUCUUACCUGCUCAUACCUGUUUUCACUUUCGAAAAUGUUGUUUAUGGAAAAUGUGUAUGCGUGCGUAGUGAACUAAAUCAAGGUAUGCCAAACAGAUAAGCACAGCACCCUUUGGACAAGCCUUGUCCUGAGCCCAGGGUCGUGUGCUCUUGGAGACAGACAUGCUCGUCUGUGCGGUUUUGUUAGGCAGGAAAUCCUACCCUGUUUUUAUUUUCUGGGAUCGUUAACAAAAUUGAACAUCUUCUCCUGUUGCCCGUUUGUAGGCCUUUUUCUUGUUCAACUUCUUUGUUUUCCUUUUAACUGCAAAAAGCCCCAACAUGCUAUUUUGGGAAAACCAAGUAAUUCUGCAGUCCUGAGUAUUCUAAGAUCCAGACGUGCCUUUCCAUCUGGGAGGAGAAGGUGCCUGUUCGGCAUGUAAACACAGAAUUCAAAGCCUCCAUAGAGAGACUGGGGUUUGCAAGAUUCGAAGCCAAUUGUGAUCGUCACGGACUGACUCAUCACACCUCUGCACACAAGCUGGAAUUUUGUCCCAGGCCACAGGCUCGGGAAAGGCUGUUGUGACUGCCGGGGAGCUCUCUGCCGGGGUUUCCACACCUCCCCCCAGACAAGGCUUGUGUCUCUAAAUCCCUUUUGGGGUGUUGCCACUGAGCCAACUCCAUCCGUCGCUGAGCCUGACUUUCACCCACAAGCGCGUGAAUCAACUGAUACAAAUCUGAAAAGCCCGGCGAGUGGGUCUGAGUGACCCCCUUAAAUUCAUCAGUGCAUCUGUGGGGUCUUCCGGUGCUUUUGGAAAAUCCUGAACCACAGCUCGUGCUUCUGGCCACAGCGUGUGGCUCGGCUCAGUCCAGUUCAAGAGGCUGAGAGACUUCAGGGCUGAUGCUUGAAAGAAGCUUUUCAGGGAGAUAAAGUGGAGUUGAACACGUGAGGGUUGAUAUGCACAGAACAGAGGCUUUUGCUUUCUUUGUCCUUUUCAUGGCGGCAGGAGGGGUACCACUCACUGUAAGAGCAUGUAUCUGCCCCUGCAGAGUUCCAGUCCGUUAUGUAAAGUAGUCUUUCUGCCAACCACCCCAGCCUGAAGCUCGACACAGUAACUAGACUAGCUAUUGUACAACUAUCUUUAAGACAACUUUGUCAGCUGAUUUAUUUUAAAAAGGUUAUUUUUAAAUCCCGUUCUUUUGACUAAAGAUUGUAUGUUUCCAAGAAUCCUUUGAAAAACUUCCGUCGUGAUGCUUACAGUUUUUUUCUAUAAUAGAUCGUUUUGGUGAUUAAGUUUGUCCCCUCUGACAGAAAACACAUCAGUGAAUUCCUAAGGUUCAGGGGGGAGUUUUUUGCAUAGGGUUUUAGGUACGGGGGCUACAGAGGAAAUCAGUCCUGCAUAUUCACUGGAAGGACUGAUGCUGAAGCUGAAACUCCAAUACUUUGGCCACCUGAUGGGAAGAACUGACUCACUGGAAAAGACCCUGAUGCUGGGAAAGAUUGAGGGCAGGAGGAGAAGGGGAUGACAGAGGAUGAGAGGGUUGGAUGGCAUCACCAACUCGAUGGGCAUGAGUUUGAGUAAGCUCUGGGAGUUGGUGAUGGACAGGGAGGCCUGACGUGGUGUGGUCCAUGGAGUCACAAAGAGUCAGACACAACUGAGCGACUGAACUGAACUGAACUACAGAGCUGUUCUACACUGAGAUUAUGGUGAUGAUUGCGUUUGUCAAACUUCACGGAGACUUUUAGGGAAUGUAAAUUCUACUUCAAUAAACGUGACCUUAAAACUUUAAAGAAAACA
rnacentral:lncRNA from 1 species